GAAGCGCGAAAUGUAGUGUGAAUCGCAGAACAUUGUGAAUCAUCGAAUCUUUGAACGCACAUUGCGCCUCCCGUGAGGGAAGCAUGCCUGUCUGAGCGUCAUUUAAACCAUAAACCCGAAAGGGUUUGUCUUGGGCUUUGCACUCGUGCAUUGCCUCAAAGCCAUCGGUCUAUACGAGCGGACGAGAUCCAUUAGGACUGACCGUUCCCAGGACUUUAAACUUCUCUGACUUGACCUCAGAUCAGGUAGGACUACCGCCUGAACUUAA
rnacentral:misc_RNA from 1 species